rnacentral:rRNA from 1 species
GAUGAACGCUAGCUACAGGCUUAACACCUUGGGAGGCAUCUCCUGGGGUUGAAAGUUCCGGCGGUUUGAGAUGGACAUGCGUUGUAUUAGCUAGUUGGUGAGGUAACGGCUCACCAAGGCGACGAUACAUAGGGGGACUGAGAGGUUAACCCCCCACAUUGGUACUGAGACACGGACCAAACUCCUACGGGAGGCAGCAGUGAGGAAUAUUGGUCAAUGGACGCAAGUCUGAACCAGCCAUGCCGCGUGCAGGAUGACGGCUCUAUGAGUUGUAAACUGCUUUUGUAUGAGGGUAAACCUAGGUACGUGUACCUAGCUGAAAGUAUCAUACGAAUAAGGAUCGGCUAACUCCGUG